UCCGGUGGCAAUAUCGAAGAGGCCAUACCCGAUCCCAUCUCGAACUCGGAAGUCAAGCUCUUCGGAGCCGAUGGUACUGCAUGGGCAACCGUGUGGGAGAGUAGGACGCUGCCGGGC
rnacentral:rRNA from 1 species